AAACUUUUCAGGGGAAAAGAAGGCGUUGGACGUGCGGAUGUAAGUGAACAUGUGCAGAGGCCUCCAAGAUCCGGCUUUGUCUUCUGCCCUCACCCUCCUUUGUGGAGAGUAAUUUUGCUAAAUGGAGGUGGACCCCCUGACACUUCACCCUGGCCAUUCAGAACCCUCGCUGAAGGAUGGUGGACAAAAGACUUGUAGGAGGACCCUCUCUGGUGGUGCAAAGGGUUAAGCACAGCACUAUGAAGCUGUUGGCUGCUGCUGCAACUGA